GGUAAAUCUUAGCACUUGUACCUGAUGUUGGAGGCCGGCCUUUCUAUUCGUGGCCUAAGGAAUCCAUUUUUCUUCACACUGAUAGAAAUUGAUUUCAUAAGAGAUGCUACACGUGACUGCAAAUCGUGCUGCAGAAGCAUCACUGAUGCAGCUUUUGAUCAGUGAUGUAUGUCAUCUCUUUAAGAGAACAACCACAAGCAGUACUCAGCCUCUCCUCUUCAGAGGCCCUCCAGCAGGUAUCGGUGUGUUCCCUACAGGUGAAAGGAACUCAUCUGAAGCUCCAGUCGCUUGGUUACAGAAAGCUCUGCAGGAGUUUACAAAAAAAGUCAGUGAAUGGUAACUGAUGUUGUGAAAACCACAAAGAUUGCUGCACUUUCUGCGGGUACUUACAAAAAGUAACCUGGAAACUUGGCACAAAAGGAGAUUCCUUAAAAGCAAAUGGAAGUCACAGAUGUACAAACAGAGGAAGGAUUUGGGCCAUUUUUGUUACAGUCUGAAGAAAAGUCAAAUAUAAUCUACCAGCACCAAGAUGCUGUGGUAUGUUUUACAACAUAUCACCCCAACACCAAGCGCUGUCC
rnacentral:lncRNA from 1 species